ACUCCUACGGGAGGCAGCAGUGAGGAAUAUUGGUCAAUGGUCGCGAGACUGAACCAGCCAAGUAGCGUGCAGGAUGACGGCCCUCUGGGUUGUAAACUGCUUUUAGUUGGGAAUAAAAGGCGGUACGUGUACCGCGUAUUGUAUGUACCAUCAGAAAAAGGACCGGCUAAUUCCGUGCCAGCAGCCGCGGUAAU
rnacentral:rRNA from 1 species